AAGAAAGAAGCAUAAGUGGUUUAAUGCGGUUGGCUUGAAACCAAAGUAUGAGGGUUCAAUUCCUUCCUUUCUUG
rnacentral:tRNA from 1 species